UACGGAGGGUGCAAGCGUUAUCCGGAUUCACUGGGUUUAAAGGGUGCGUAGGUGGGUUGGUAAGUCCGUGGUGAAAUCUCCGAGCUUAACUCGGAAACUGCCGUGGAUACUAUCAAUCUUGAAUACUGUGGAGGUGAGCGGAAUAUGUCAUGUAGCGGUGAAAUGCUUAGAUAUGACAUAGAACACCAAUUGCGAAGGCAGCUCACUACGCGAAUAUUGACACUGAGGCACGAAAGCGUGGGGAUCAAACAGG
rnacentral:rRNA from 1 species